AUAACGGCGCUUAUAAGCGCCACUAAAACAAUUUACAGUGCUUUU
rfam:Gossypium hirsutum cultivar TM-1 unplaced genomic scaffold scaffold39.1, whole genome shotgun sequence